GAGUUUGAUCCUGGCUCAGGACGAACGCUGGCGGCGUGCCUAAGACAUGCAAGUCGAGCGGAUCACCUUUCGGGGUGGUUAGCGGCGGACGGGUGAGUAACACGUGGAUAACCUGCCUGACGAUCUGGGAUAACAGACCGAAAGGUCUGCUAAUACCGGAUAAGCUCACGGAAGCGCAUGCUUCUGGGAGAAAAGGCGCUGCAAGGCGCUGUGGUCAGAGGGGUCCGCGGCCCAUUAGCUAGUUGGAGGGGUAACGGCCCACCAAGGCGACGAUGGGUAGCCGGCCUGAGAGGGCGACCGGCCACACUGGGACUGAGACACGGCCCAGACUCCUACGGGAGGCAGCAGUCGGGAAUUUUGCACAAUGGCCGAAAGGCUGAUGCAGCAACGCCGCGUGAGUGAAGAAGGCCUUCGGGUUGUAAAGCUCUGUUGCCCGUGACGAAGUGCGCUUUCAGGAAAUGGGAGGCGUUUGACGGUAGCGGGAGAGGAAGCCCCGGCUAACUACGUGCCAGCAGCCGCGGUAAUACGUAGGGGGCGAGCGUUGUCCGGAUUUAUUGGGCGUAAAGGGCGUGUAGGCGGUCUGUUAAGUCGGGGGUGAAAACCCGGGGCUCAACCCCGGGCCUGCCUCCGAAACUGAUGGACUUGAGUACUCUAGAGGGCAGUGGAAUUCCCGGUGUAGCAGUGAAAUGCGUAGAGAUCGGGAGGAACACCAGUGGCGAAGGCGACUGCCUGGGGAGAAACUGACGCUGAGGCGCGAAAGCUGGGGGAGCAAACGGGAUUAGAUACCCCGGUAGUCCCAGCCGUAAACGAUGAGUGCUAGGUGUAGCGGGUAUCGACCCCUGCUGUGCCGCAGUAAACGCAAUAAGCACUCCGC
rnacentral:rRNA from 1 species